GACGAACGCUGGCGGCGCGCCUAACACAUGCAAGUCGAACGAGCGAGAGAGAGCUUGCUUUCUCGAGCGAGUGGCGAACGGGUGAGUAACGCGUGAGGAACCUGCCUCAAAGAGGGGGACAACAGUUGGAAACGACUGCUAAUACCGCAUAAGCUCACGGCUCGCCAUCGGGCAGGGGGAAAAGGAGCAAUCCGCUUUGAGAUGGCCUCGCUUCCGAUUAGCUAGGUGGUGGGGUAACGGCCCACCAAGGCGACGAGCGGUAGCCGUGCUGAGAGGUUGACCGGCCACCUUGGGGCUAAGGCCCGGCCCCGAAUCCUACGGGAGGGAGCAGUAGGGUGUAUUACACACUGAGGGAGACCCUGAUACCGCGGCGCCGCGUAGAAGAAGAAGGUCUUCGGAUUGUAAACUCCUGUUGUUGGAGGAGAUAAUGACGGUACCCAACAAGGAAGUGACGGCUAACUACGUG
rnacentral:rRNA from 1 species